rnacentral:rRNA from 1 species
GAUGAACGCUGGCGGCGUGCUUAACACAUGCAAGUCGAACGAAGCACUUUAUUUGAUUUUCUUCGGAAAUGAAGAUUUUGUGACUGAGUGGCGGACGGGUGAGUAACGCGUGGAUAACCUGCCUCAUACAGGGGGAUAACAGCCGGAAACGGCUGCUAAUACCGCAUAAGCGCACGGUACCGCAUGGUACAGUGUGAAAAACUCCGGUGGUAUGGGAUGGAUCCGCGUCUGAUUAGCCAGUUGGCGGGUAACGGCCCACCAAAGCGACGAUCAGUAGCCGACCUGAGAGGGUGACCGGCCACAUUGGGACUGAGACACGGGCCCAAAACUCCUACGGGAGGCAGCAGUGGGGAAUAUUGCACAAUGGGGGAAACCCUGAUGCAGCGACGCCGCGUGAGCGAAGA